CAAAGAACAAGUUGAGUUAUGAGUGCUUUUGCAAAGCAAACGGGUUUGCUGCCACGUAUUUGCUGAAGCGAAUGUGGACAUUCCCAAGGACAGCGUGGGGUCUGUCCGGUUCCGGGGCAGCUGGGACACGGCAGAGAGCACCUGAGUCCCAGACUGGACCGCAGUGUGCAUCGUGCGGCAACUGUGGGCAUCCACCCUUCACUUGCUACCUUCAGAAGGGGUGUGUGUGCGGUGUGUGUGUGUAUGGGAGGUUCCUUGUUUCAGCCACUCACUGUGGGAAGCCCGGAGGCUGCAGUUUAUUUACUCAGCACUGAUGGCGUUCUUGUUCUCUACCAGCAGCGUGUGGCCUCCAGGGCUGCGAGACGAUCGCCGGUCCCAGGAGGCUUAUCCCCACUCUUCAAUUGAGAUGAAAUACGGCCUUGGGAAGAAGCCCCUGGCUCUGAGGCCUGAGACGUCCCACCUCACCCCCGCCCCCUCCCCAUCUUCAACAGACUCUGUGACCUUGGGCAAGUUCUCUAGCCUGGGAGUAUCUCCAUGCCUCCCUUUGUGGGACCCCCCAUGGCAGGACCUAGCUCAGAUAGUCCUCAUGCAAAGUAUGUUAGAAGUACUCUGGGGGCACCUGGGUGGCUCAGUCAGUUGAGCUUCCGGCUUCGGCUCAGGUCAUGAUCUCAUGGUUCAUGAGUUCGAGCCCCACAUCAGACUCUGGGCCAACAGCUCAGAGCCUGCAGCCUGCUUCAGAUUCUGUGUCCCCCUCUCUGUCUCUGCCCCUCCCCUUUUCACGCUCUGUCUCUGUCUCUCUCUCUCUCUCUCUCUCUCUCUCACAAAUAAACAUUAAAAUAAAUUUUUUUAAAGAAUAAAU
rnacentral:lncRNA from 1 species